rnacentral:rRNA from 1 species
CACGUAGGCGGCCUGGUAAGUCAGAUGUGAAAGCCCGGGGCUUAACCCCGGAAGUGCAUUUGAUACUGCUAUGCUUGAGUAUGGGAGAGGGAAGUGGAAUUCCUGGUGUAGAGGUGAAAUUCGUAGAUAUCAGGAGGAACACCGGUGGCGAAGGCGACUUCCUGGACCAAUACUGACGCUGAGGUGCGAAGGCGUGGGUAGCAAACA